GAAAGUUUACUUCGGUACAUCGGUGACAGGUGGUGCAUGGUUGUCGUCAGCUCGUGUCGUGAGAUGUUGGGUUAAGUCCCGCAACGAGCGCAACCCCUAUUGUUAGUUGCCAUCAUUCAGUUGGGCACUCUAGCGAGACUGCCGGUAAUAACCGGAGGAAGUGGGAUGACGUCAAAUCAUCAUGCCCCUUAUGACCUGGGCUACACACGUGCUACAAUGGUUGGUACAACGAGUUGCGAGUCGGUGACGGCGAGCUAAUCUCUUAAAGCCAAUCUCAGUUCGGAUUGUAGGCUGCAACUCGCCUACAUGAAGUCGGAAUCGCUAGUAAUCGCGGAUCAGCACGCCCGCGGUCGAAUACGUUCCCGGGCCCUU
rnacentral:rRNA from 1 species